UUUAACACAUGCAUGAUUUUUUAAAUUCAGGCGUUUGUGAAACAAUUUACACGCAAAAUAAAUUAUAUAUCUAUAAAAGUAUGUUUUCCCAUAAAUCCUCUCCUGAUCGCUGAUUGGUUGUAAUUUUCGGCGGGCAAAAUUGAUUGUUGUUUGUGAGAGAAAACCUAGCGUGACUCAAAUGGAACCAUGUCAUGUUUUGAAUGAAUGGAAGAUCCACAGAUUUUUCUGAGAAUAGGAGACGUCUACUGUUGUUGGGCAUCGUUCAGGUAUGUCUUUUAGAGGGUAUUGAGUAAAAAUUUCUGGAACUUUUUAAAACAAUCUUCCAUUAUGCAUCCUCACUGAAUAUUUUAGUAUGAGUCUGUCCAUAGCCAAUACUGGCAAUUGCCGUCUCAUUUAAACGAUUUUUGACGGGAUAUCAUGUUAUCUCUGACUAUAUACAAAUUUUCCUUUUCUCAUAAAAGAGCAAUGAUAUUUAAUAUUCAUUUCAUAAUCACAACAGAACACAUCAAAACAUGCUUGAUAUUCACCUUUUCGAAUUUUAAAUACAAAAAAAGUUUAAAAAUAUCCUGUCCCGAUUCGGAAACAGAACGUUAUCUAACCUAUUCUUUCUCUCUAUAUAUCAUUGUAGGUAUUUCCGGUGUUGACUUGAUACAUUUUCAUUCACGACGCGAUGUUGCGGAUUCAUCAUUGCAUUUGCAUGGGGUAGUGCAUAUGUUGUGUGUGGCCUUCUAAACGAUAAAUCUAUGGAUUAAAGGAUGAACAGGUCGAUGCAGGAAUAUUCAUUCUAAUGAUAAGGAAAUACGAAAUGCAAGGACAACCUCCAAGCAUGCAGUAUGCCUUAUACAAACAAUGAUGGGAUGUUCCAUAAUAUGGUGGCGCCCAGUUUUUAUUGGUGGAAGAGAGAACCCAGAUACAAUGUACCUGGGAAGAGACCAUCGACCUUCCGAAAGUAAACUGGAAAACUUUCUCACUUAACCGCAUGAGCGGGAUUGGAACCCUCGCCAACAGAGAACUAGAUGAGCAGAAGAUGCAUUCCAUGACUGACUCCCCAUAUGAUAUGAAAGACAGCCCAUGAGAAUGGAACCAACUUUCAGUGUUACAAUGGAUGAACACUCCUCCUGUCACAAGUCCAUCUUGAUUCAGUAAAGUGGUAGUCUAUUCAUCUAGGAAGCAACAAGACGGAUCUGGACAAGGACCAUAGUGACUCAAGUUUUGGUGUCAGAAGACCAUUUUGAUUAAACAUGUUAAAAGCACCACAGAAGUAAGAAGCUAGGAUACCAGUUUUAUAAACUAAAGAGUCGAAAGGCCCAGCUGGAGAGAGAUUCCUAUUUUUCGACCAAGGACAAAAAAAAAAAGAUUAAAAAGGUGCUAAGGAGGCAACGUCUCCAGAAGUAAUGGAUGAUGAGGAAGCCACCCAGAGGAAGGUCUUACCAUUUAUAUGGGAGUCAUCCCUGCUGCGUAAUGUUAAGUGCGACCUGGACAGAGAGUAUGCUGAAUCUUUGCAAUUUCAAUUAAAGAGACAAAAAGCCAAGGCCAUUAGAAGUAGAACGGAAAUGACUAUGACCCCACCACCUAGGAGCAUUCAAGAGUGGGCCGUUUCCUCUACUUAUAAAUGAUGCUAUUACUGUUAAUAGUUAUAUUUAAUUUCCUCAUUUCUAGCUCACCUGAGCCAAAAGCUCAAGGUCACAAUUAAUAAUAUUAUACCGUUAUAACCAGUUUUUAUGAAAUUCUAAUAAUGCUGUUGAAGGAGAAUUGCAAUUUUUCGGAUGUUUAUAAUUGAUACUGUUUAAUUAUGUCUAGCAUCUUAAAAAGUGUGAUGACCUAUAUAUUUCAUUUGAUAAUUUAUUAAUUUUAACUUUAAUAAAUUGAAAUAAAUGCAUUUUUGAUACUUUUAUCAGAGAAUAUUGCAAGUAUGGAGUUACCUUGAUAUAUUUAUACAGAUUUGUUCUGCUUUAGUACUAGUGUAUCAGUAUUAUUACAUCAAGUUCAUUUGUGUGAAUAUUAUAAUAUUUAAGAAUGAAUAAAACUGUCAAAUUGUG